CACCCUCACCUGGGCUCCGGGAUUAGUGCUGACGUCGCUGGGGUCUCGGUGAUGUCACACGGGGGUCACACGGGGUCUCCCGCUGCCAUCUCAGGGUCGCGAUGAUGUCACCUGGCGGGGGUGGAGGAGGAGGAUGGUGACGUCACAGUUGUCACCCGGGGGUCGCCGCAAGGUCACGCUGGGCACUGUUCCCACCCCAAUGACGUCAUCCAGUUAAUGGGAAUCAGCAUGAAUGAGCAUAAUGAGUUCUUAAUUAGCAGAACGCUGCUGCCCUUCGAGGGGUCACGUGAGGUCACAUGAGGUCACGUGAGGUCACUGCGCUCAGUGAGGAGCGAGCGGGAGCCGCGCAGAUUUGCGUUCAUCCUCUCCGCAGCUCAGAUCACCCUCGUCAGCGUUAAUUUUCAUAAAUCUGCAUAAAUUUGCAUGAAUUUGCAUGAAUUAUGAUGGCUCCGCAGGAACCAGCUGCCCGCGCUGCUGACGUAGGAGCUGAGGUCAGGGGGUCGCCUCCAGGGAGGGGUCCGGGUGGCCUCGAGGGUGACGUCAGGGGUCACGUUGAGGUCACCCAAACUCAUUUGCAUAACUCUGCCUGCGUCACCUGGUCACUCACCUGCACGUCAGGUCCUGGGCUCCCGGUCGGUACGGGGUAUCGCUGACGUCACUCUGGGGUCACUAUGGGGUCGCUCUUCCCUGACGUCACUCUGGGGUCACUCUGUGCUGACGUCACUCUGGGAUCACUCUGUGCUGAAGUCACUCUGGGGUCACUCGGUGGUCGCUCUGCGCUGACGUCACCCUGGGGUCACUCUGACCUCCCACGUGUGUGUCGGAGACCCCACGGCGGGGCGGGACUGUUGUCUGACGUCACACUCUCUGCGGGACACCGACCUGGACUGUCACUCUCUGACGUCACAGACGCCCUCGCUGCCCUCGUCCGUGAUGGUGUCACAGGUUGCGGUGUCAGUCAGCGUCACAGCAGAUGAGCGACGUUACUGAUGACGUCACUGGGAUGCGGCAGCCGUGUCCCACUGACGUCAAAUGACAGGUCGCGGUAGAUCUGAGUCUGAUGAUGACGUGAGAUGACGUAGCGUGUUACGUCAUGACGACAGAGCAGUGCAGGUCACAGUAGAUGAACCACAGGGUCAGUGGGCGGAUGAUCUAUAUCUAUAUUGAUGUGACGAUGACGUCACUGACGGAUGACGUCACUCACUGAGGAUGACGCGGUGGCUGACGUCAUGACGUCAGAGGCCGGGGUCGCAGUCGACGUCUCACAGUCGACGUUGAGUCAGAUGAACCACAGGGUCACAUACAGCAGGCGGAUGAUCUGUAUCUAUGCAUAUUUAUGUAUGACGACGUCACUCACUGAUGAUGACGACACGGAUAAUGACGUCACCCUCGCGCGCUGACCUCACAGCCGGUGGUCACAGUCGACGUCGCGGCAAAUGUAUAACAGGAUCACGUACAGGACCAGGGGGCGGAUGAUCUAUGUGUGUACAUAUACGGUGAUGUUUUGAUGAUGACGUCACUCACUGACGGAUGACGCGAUGGAUGACGUCCUGACGUCAGAGGCCGAUGAACCACAGGGUCACGUACAGCGGGCGGAUGAUCUAUGUGUGCAUAUAUAUAUAUAUAUAUAUAUAUAUAUAUAUAAUAUAUAAUAUAGAUGAUGACGUCACUCACGGAAGAUGACGCAAUGGAUAACGCAAUGACGCGCUGACGUCACAGCCUGUGGUCGCACUCCACGUCGUGGCAGAUGAAGCACAGGAUCACGUACAGCAUUAAGAUGAUCUAUGUGUGCAUAUAUACGGUGAUGAUGUGAUGACGACACGAUGACGACACUGGUGAUGACGUCAACGUCACGCACUGACGUUGCGGCCCGUGGUCGCAGUCCACGUCGCGGCAGAUGAACCACAGGAUCACAUACAGGAUCAGCGGGCGGAUGGUCUGUGUGUGUAUAUAUAUAUUGACGGUGGCGAUGACGUCACUCACGGAUGAUGAAGACGCUGAUGAUGACGUCACCCGUACGCGCUGACGUCACAGGCCGUGGUCGCAGUCCACGUCGCGGCAGAUGAACCCCAGGAUCACGUACAGGGGCGGAUGGUCUGUGUGUGCGUAUAUAUAUAUAUUGACGGUGGCGAUGACGUCACUCGCUGGUGAUGACGACACGGGUGAUGACGCGGUGGGUGACGCGCUGACGUCACAGGCCGUGGUCGCAGUCCACGUCGCGGCAGAUGAACCCCAGGAUCACGUACAGCGGGCGGAUGGUCUGUGUGCGUAUAUAUAUAUAUUGACGGUGAUGAUGACGUCACUCGCUGGUGAUGACGACACGGGUGAUGACGCGGUGGGUGACGCGCUGACGUCAGAGGCCGUGGUCGCAGUCCACGUCGCGGCAGAUGUACCACAGGAUCACGUACAGGAUCAGCAGGAUCGCGAAGAUGAACAGCGCCACCAGCACCGCCUUCGUCACCGGCGACACCAGCGCCUGCAUGGCCACGCCCCGGGGACCGCCCCGCCCCCCGCGCCCGCCCGGCCCCCGCCCCCGCGCCGCCGGCCACGCCCUCCGCGACCCCCGCCCGGCCCGGACCCCCCG
rnacentral:lncRNA from 1 species